UACGAAGGUUGCAAGCGUUACUCGGAAUUACUAGGCGUAAAGGGCAGGUAGGUGGUUUGGUAAGUCUAUUGUGAAAGCUCCCGGCUUAACUGGGAGAGGCCAAUGGAUACUGCCAAGCUUGAGUAUAGGAGAGGUUACUGGAAUUCCCGGUGUAGCGGUGAAAUGCGCAGAUAUCAGGAGAAACACCGGUGGCGAAGGCGGGUCUCUGGGUAGUAACUGACGCUGAGGAACGAAAGCGUGGGUAGCGAACAGG
rnacentral:rRNA from 1 species